rnacentral:rRNA from 1 species
CCUACGGGAGGCAGCAGUGGGGGAUAUUGGACAAUGGGGGGAACCCUGAUCCAGCGACGCCGCGUGAGUGAAGAAGUAUUUCGGUAUGUAAAGCUCUGUCAGCAGGGAAGAAAGAAAUGACGGUACCUGACCAAGGAGCCCCGGCUAACUACGUGCCAGCAGCCGCGGUAAUACGGAGGGGGCAAGCGUUAUCCGGAAUUACUGGGUGUAAAGGGAGCGUAGACGGUUAAGUAAGUCUGGAGUGAAAGGCCGGGGCCCAACCCCGGGACUGCUCUGGAAACUAUUGAACUUGAGUGCAGGAGAGGUAAGCGGAAUUCCUAGUGGAGCGGUGAAAUGCGUAGAUAUUAGGAGGAACACCAGUGGCGAAGGCGGCUUACUGGACUGUAACUGACGUUGAGGCUCGAAAGCGUGGGGAGCAAACAGGAUUAGAUACCCUUGUAGUC